rnacentral:rRNA from 1 species
UAGGGAAUCUUCCACAAUGGACGCAAGUCUGAUGGAGCAACGCCGCGUGAGUGAAGAAGGUCUUCGGAUCGUAAAACUCUGUUGUUAGAGAAGAACACGAGUGAGAGUAACUGUUCAUUCGAUGACGGUAUCUAACCAGCAAGUCACGGCUAACUACGUGCCAGCAGCCGCGGUAAUACGUAGGUGGCAAGCGUUAUCCGGAUUUAUUGGGCGUAAAGAGAGUGCAGGCGGUUUUUUAAGUCUGAUGUGAAAGCCUUCGGCUUAACCGGAGAAGUGCAUCGGAAACUGGAUAACUUGAGUGCAGAAGAGGGUAGUGGAACUCCAUGUGCAGCGGUGGAAUGCGUAGAUAUAUGGAAGAACACCAGUGGCGAAGGCGGCUACCUGGUCUGCAACUGACGCUGAGACUCGAAAGCAUGGGUAGCGAACAGGAUUAGAUACCCUGGUAGUCCAUGCCGUAAACGAUGAGUGCUAGGUGUUGGAGGGUUUCCGCCCUUCAGUGCCGGAGCUAACGCAUUAAGCACUCCGCCUGGGGAGUACGACCGCAAGGUUG